rnacentral:tRNA from 1 species
CAUUAAGAAGCUAUGCACCAGCACUAGCCUUUUAAGCUAGAGACAGAGAAUCACCAUUCUCCUUAAUGA